rnacentral:lncRNA from 1 species
GUUCAAAUUAACAUUUGGUGUGGAUCACAUGAUCGUCCAUACUCCAGAUCAACAAUGCCAAAUAAUUUAAAUUGUAUGUUUUUUAUGCUCUAUAUUUUAUGUUUCAUUAAAAACUCUAACCUCAAUUUUCAGCCCCAACCCCUCUUCUAUUGGUUUGGCGGACGAAGUGCCGACUACCUCCAAAAGUAGUCGGCACGUGACUUUCUCGCUGUCAGCAACACCACUGCGCCCCACAACACCGAUACACAGUUGCUGGCAGCAGAGGCAGGCCAUCGAUGUGUUGCUCAUCUUGUGCUGUGUAUGUUAAAAGAUUUCACCAACAACCUUCAGCCAUGUGUGUAUAAAGCUAAUAUUUCACCGCUGUGUUUUUGAAAACUUUCCUGGAUGUAAAUCUAAUCCAUAAAUAUAUAUGGAAACCCGGAAUAUAAAUUAGAAACUUUGGACCCAAACAUCUAUUGAACAUGAACACUCGUUUCGCUUUUAGCGGUACAUUUUUCAAACAGAUUGUUAAAACAGUUAAGUAUAUGUCAAUAUGGCCAUGAACGAAUUAGUCGAUCAGCCAAUAUUCAUGUCAGUGGUCGUGGUAGAAAACAGAAGGAUGUAUCUCGAUGUCUCAGUAGAAUGGUGCAAAGCAAAUCAUUCAUAAAAUACAUGAAAGAAAAUGUGAAAAGCGAUAUGGGACAAGACAUUAAUAAAACAGAAAACGGACAAGAAAAAUAGUGCAAAGAUGAACAUCACAACAAAUAUCGUAUGCUUGAAAAAUCAAAAAAUUAAGAAUACAAAAAGAAACGAGAACAAAAGAAAGAAGUUGAAUGUCAAGGAUGAGAUGGCAAACUUAACUCAAACAGUGAGGAGACAAAGAAUAUGAAAUGUACAACAAAAAAUGAGAUGGAAACCCCGCAAAAACAAUACGAAAACAAAAAUGUGCCAUAUAAAAAAAAGCUUUACCAACAUGGUGAGAAUGAAAACAAUACGAACACAUGUAAAGUGAACAAAAACGUCAAGAAAGCAAGGAAGAUGAGACUAAAGAACAACAAAACAAUGGAAACAAAAAAUAUGAAAUGUACAGGAAGAAAUGAUGAGGAGAAAAACAAUACGAAAACAAACAAUGUUAAAAUUAACCAAAUGGAAAGACAAAACCAUCAUGGACACUAUAAAUAUGAUGACAAGGGAUAUCCAAAUGAUAGAAACGGAAUCAUGUGACAUGAAAAAAAGCGUUAAGAAAACAAGAAGGGCGAGAACGAAGAAUAACAAAACAAGCAUUUUGGAAACAGUACUAACAGGCCCAACAAGAAGUCAGUGACUUUUGGUCAGUGAUGAGGCAUCAGAUUCCCUGGUUUUUUAGGUGUAAAACAUUUAUAUUUUCUUUCUUUUCUUUUUGUUUUAUUUUGUUUGGGGUUUUUCCUCUUUUUUUUGUCAUGCAGUUGGGUAUGAAUAGAACACAUGCAUUCGAAAAUUUGCGGACGAAUUGGUAGUAACACUAUCUCGGGCGCGUGUGCAGAAGGGGAAAAGCCUAGUUUCGGGGCUUGACCUCCUGCUUCAAGCAAAUUUUUAUUUUUUAUUUUUUAAAAAUAUAUUUUCUGUGGGAACCUAUCUCGGGCGCGUGUGCAGAAGGGGAAGCCUAGUUUCGGGGCUUGACCUCCUGCUUCAAGCAAAUUUUUAUUUUUUAUUUUUUUUAAAAUAUAUUUUCUGUGGGAACCUAUCUCGGGCGCGUGUGCAGAAGGGGAAGCCUAGUUUCGGGGCUUGACCUCCUGCUUCAAGCAAAAAAAAAAUUUCUUUUUUUUAUAAUAUAUUUUCUGUGGGAACCUAUCUCGGGCGCGUGUGCAGAAGGGGAAGCCUAGUUUCGGGGCUUGACCUCCUGCUUCAAGCAAAUUUUUAUUUU